GGGCGGUUAGUUCAGCGGGAGAACACCUGCCUUACAAGCAGGGGGUCACAGGUUCAAAUCCUGUACCGCCCACCA
rnacentral:tRNA from 1 species